rnacentral:siRNA from 1 species
UGCAGCCUCCUUUGUAGCAUCCUG